CGCAUCUGUGCAUGCAGCAUAUCAAUAAGCGGAGGAAAAGAAACUAACAAGGAUUCCCCUAGUAACGGCGAGUGAAGCGGGAAGGAGCUCAAAUUUGAAAUCUUAAAGGGUUUCCCUUUACGAAUUGUAGUUUAAAGAAGUGUUUUCUGUUGAGGUUUUGGUAAAAGUUCUUUGGAAUAGGACAUCAUAGAGGGUGAGAAUCCCGUAUUUGACCUUUACUUUCAACUUUGUGAUACACUUUCAAAGAGUCGGAUUGUUUGGGAAUGCAGUCCAAAAUGGGUGGUAUAUUUCAUCUAAAGCUAAAUAUUGGCGAGAGACCGAUAGCGAACAAGUACCGUGAGGGAAAGAUGAAAAGAACUUUGAAAAGAGAGUUAAACAGUACGUGAAAUUGUCAAAAGGGAAGCGUUUGACACCAGUGUUGUUUUUCUGAAAAUCAAUUAAAGAACUGUUUAUGCUAAGUUGUUUAGACUUUAUCAGCUAUCUGUUUAGUUUUGAGCUUUUCUUUAAUGCACUUUUCAGUUAACAAGUCAACAUCAAUUUCUUUUGCUGUAAAAAAGCUUGAGGAAGGUGGCUUGAGAUUCGUCUUAAGUGUUUAUAGCCUCUUGCCUAUGCAGUCGGAGAGAUUGAGGUCUGCAGCGUAGAUCCUUCGGGGCUAAAUGCAUUUGUGCUAAGUUAUAGCAUUUUAUAGACAACUUGUUGACUAUGAUUUGUCUUGUAGCUUACUCGCUUAUGUUAUUUUACCUACGCUUAGGAUGUUGAGCGCAUGUCUCUCUCU
rnacentral:rRNA from 1 species